CUCUGUAACCAUGACGAUGAACAUCCUCUAACCUUGAGGAAAGUACUUGUCCUGAACCAAACCACAAUCCUUUCUUAAAUCCAAACCCGAGUGGUUUUUUUGUGCCUAAACCUAAACAUAAGUUUCACUGCGUGUUUGUGACUGUCUCCAUGACAGUGAAGGUCUCGUUUAGGUCGGGUGACUCCGUCGGAAAGAUCCGUGACCCCCAGCGGCCUCGGACUCCUUCAGUGCGUCGACUCCUUUCUGGUGGAAAGACAUCUCGAGGCUCGUGACGGAGGCGUUGCACAGAUCGAAUGAGGAAAUACGUGCGGGAUACAGUAUCAUCGGCUGAGUGAGUGAGUCUCCCUGCUUCUCUCUUCCCUGCACAUCUGAGACACACGGGAGGCCCAGCUUGUUAUGAUGCCACCGCCUGUAGUCCCCGACGUGUGUCUCCACGCCAGACUCUUUCCCAAACCCUGACAGUCGCUGCAGAGGAGAGGAGAGUGCAUCACACCUCGACCAGACGCUGCAGGCUGCUCGGCGCCCUCCACACAUUACCUGGCUCAGUGCGAGAGCAGGUGGAGGAUGAACCUGCCCCGGGACGCCAGGUGACUGUCAGGUCCACCUGCUACCAGAGCUUCUCCCCCUCGGGAGGAGUCAACCUGCCGCCGCUCUACGUCUGCGGCGUGCUGGCCUCGCACCGCACGAUGUUUCGCCACACACAUACGUCUGCACCGAUCGUCUGAUUAGAAACGGAUUCUUCUUUGCAUUGCAACAUUGUCUUUGGCUCUGCAGAAUACAUGAUUCAUUUUCAUGCCAAAAAUACAGUAUUUUGGGGCAGCUGGUGCUAGAAAAGUCUAUUUAUUAUUGUGCAGGGGUUGAAACUAUGUACAAAAAUCAUCUGCAGAUCAGUUGAAUCUGUGAUAUUCUUCCUUUCUUAUGAGGCUCCUCUGGUGGAGUGCUGUUUGCUAGAUGUGUGAACUUGACUGUGGACAACGAUGUAUGUACAGAGUUUUACACUGGAAAACUGUUUUAAAAGUUAUUAAGGAGGGAAGUUUUUCUCUGCUCAUGUAGAUGUGGACACACACGCAAUGACAUCACCACUUUGGAAGACAAUUAUGGUCGAACAUGCGAGUGUGAUGUGGAAACUUCAACCUCCAGUUCAUGUACACUGGCAAAGGGCUUUUCAUUGAAGUUUGAAACAAACGACAACAAACACAUCAUUUUUCAAUGAAGGGGACAUGUUUUUAUUAUUUGUCAUUCGUUAAGCAUGUUAUGUGGGGAAAGAGACUAUUUCAGACAGAAAUUAUUAUUCCAAAGCAGAGUAUUUCAAAAAAAAAAAACAUGUCUAGAGGGAAUUACUAUUCACUUAAAAACUUAAAGCACUUUUUUUUUUUUAAAUCUAUAGGAACAAGAGUGACGAGUGCACCUGUAUGAAACGUAUCCGCCUCGCGACCUUGGUCUUUCUCCACUGUUAGCACAGGGAGCAGGAUGUGUUUGCUGCGUCCUUUUUUGAAAAUCCACUACCCAGCCCGUUUUGUCAACACCGUCCACCAAUCUUAUGAGGACGUGACGGAGGGCGACCUUCGGUGGCCAGUCGGCCGCUUCUCACACACUGAACAAUGCAAACAUAUGCGAGUCCAACUAACCGAAAACUGCUGGAACAAAUAAGGCAAUGGGAAAAUACUCCUGCAAGUCCUGCAUUAAAUUGAAUUCCGAAAAUCAUACUCAUCAAAUCGAAAAACAAAUCAAUAUGCAUACUAAGACUUUAAUUUCACACAUUAAUGCAUUAUUAGCAAUAAUACAUUAAUGUGUGAGCAGGAUUUUAACGUAGUGGGCGAGGUGACUACUUAAUAUACUGCUUGCAAAUCUUUCAGGUACGCCAUAAGCCCAAGGUUUAAAUGACAAGUGGCGAUUCGUUUGAUUGAAUUGUUCAUUUUGUACUGUAAUAUACACA